GCCAUUGUUUACCCCCAAGUGUACGAAAGCCGGCAGGAGAACUCGGAAAAGAUAUUGGUCAUUGACGGAUACUCUCUUAAUCUAAAAAAAGCUUCAGUUCUUGCCGACACAGUCCUGCUACUGGAGGUAACUGAAAAUGGUACCGCCGAGCAAUACGUUCAAGGUUCCCACUACGAGAGGCACUUGUUCGAAGAUACGGACAAACUGGCAUCGCUGAUCCUUAAGCCUUUAGGUCGA